CAGGCUGGUUGGUGUUUCCUUGAAAAGCGUUUCUGAAGGGUAUGGAUUUCUGUCUGAAACACAUAGACAAAACUUGUUGGUAUGAUAUUAUGGAGCAUCUUUUAUGUGUACUUGAGAUAUGUUAUUCCCUGUUCAACUGUCAUCCAGUUUAAGUGUUUGAAUAAGGGCUCAGAUGUAGCGAAACUGUCUGUUUCUAGUAAUAUUCUAGCAGCUCGCUUUUGUGAUUUUGAUAUCCUAAAAAGCAUUAACAGUAAUUUACCUUGUCCUACUCAAGUUAACAACUUUAUAUGCAGGAGGUAAUAUCACAUAAAUCUACCUAGUAAUAAGUUUCAUUUUCAAGUAAUCAGAAGUACUAUCAGUAUG
rnacentral:lncRNA from 1 species